GACGAACGCUGGCGGCGUGCUUAACACAUGCAAGUCGAACGGAAAGGCCCUGCUUUUGUGGGGUGCUCGAGUGGCGAACGGGUGAGUAACACGUGAGUAACCUGCCCUUGACUUUGGGAUAACUUCAGGAAACUGGGGCUAAUACCGGAUAGGAGCUCCUGCUGCAUGGUGGGGGUUGGAAAUUUUCGGCGGUUGGGGAUGGACUCGCGGCUUAUCAGCUUGUUGGUGGGGUAGUGGCUUACCAAGGCUUUGACGGGUAGCCGGCCUGAGAGGGUGACCGGGCACAUUGGGACUGAGGUACGGCCCAGACUGCUACAGGAGGCAGCAGUGGGGAAUAUUGCACAAUGGGCGGAAGCCUGAUGCAGAAACGCCGCGUGCGGGAUGACGGCCUUCGGGUUGUAAACCGCUUUAGCCUGUGACGAAGCGUGAGUGACGGUAAUGGGUAAAGAAGCACCGGCUAACUACGUG
rnacentral:rRNA from 1 species